GAUCCAGAUGUUUUGGCUUCACGUCCCUGUGGGAGCCGUCAAAUCACUUUACAUUUAAAUCGUCUCCUAUGUUUGAAAAAAGCUGCUCUGGCGUAGUUUAGAUUUUUUACUCUGAUUUUAUAACUUUCUCUCCUGUGACGGCAAAAUUAAUGUCCUGUGAAAUUAGUAAAUGCCUUUAAACCAAUCAAGUGAAGGAUGCAUUCAUUACUCAGCCAAUCAGGAGCAGCUUUCACUAAAGCUGCAGUGAGAUCGGACCAGGAAGAGGAGGAGUUUACACACACAGGAAACUGGACUUUGAACUGGGUGGUUUCACGAGUGAACUGGUUCAACAGGGAGGAGGAGCCUGAGAACAGGGAAGUGUCAGACUCCAUUUUCACCUGGAUGAGCAGAAGGAAGAAAAGUGAGCAGACUGGUUUGUCCUGAUUCCUGUGAGCUCACAGUGUUUUUCCUCUCAGACUGAAGAUGAGUGGUUAUGAGGAGGAAGAGGAGGACAGAGCAGAGUCUCCAGGGUUCAGCUGUGUGUCUCUGAAGAGUGACAAGUCCAUGAAUCCUCCUCUACUCUUCAGUAAUGAACCUGGACCCUCACACACAAAAGGUCAGGACCACAGACUGAGAGCCGAGUCUCCAGGGUCCAGCUGUGAGUCUCUGAAGAGUGACAUGUCCAUAGAUCAGCCUCUGUUGUUCAGUAAAGAACCUGGACCCUCACACACAGAAGAGAGGAAGAGGAGCCAUGUUUCUGAGGAGGAGCAGUCGUCCUGCUGUGCU